CAUAUGUAUGUCUUGUUAAGCAGUCUAGCAUUACGUGAUUUGGUGAGAAGUUGUCAAUAGCCCCUGGUAUUUUGUAGGGCUAUCUAUAAUUGGGUUCUUGUCAAAAGAGAAUAAAAAGCUGGGGACCUUUUGUCCAGCGGAGCUGAGACUGCAGUAUCAGUUAUGUGAAUGUUUUGAUUGAUGGUUAAUGGAGUGAUUUUAGAAGCAUGGAUGAAUGUUAUAAAAUGGGUUAGGAACUAAUUGGGCCUUUGUUAUUGGCUGUGCUUCCGUUAAUGGAAAAUUGCUUUGGUG
rnacentral:misc_RNA from 1 species